GACGAACGCUGGCGGCGUGCUUAACACAUGCAAGUCGAACGGAAAGGCCCUGCUUUUGUGGGGUGCUCGAGUGGCGAACGGGUGAGUAACACGUGAGUAACCUGCCCUUGACUUUGGGAUAACUUCAGGAAACUGGGGCUAAUACCGGAUAGGAGCUCCUGCUGCAUGGUGGGGGUUGGAAAGUUUCGGCGGUUGGGGAUGGACUCGCGGCUUAUCAGCUUGUUGGUGGGGUAGUGGCUUACCAAGGCUUUGACGGGUAGCCGGCCUGAGAGGGUGACCGGCCACAUUGGGACUGAGAUACGGCCCAGACUCCUACGGGAGGCAGCAGUGGGGAAUAUUGCACAAUGGGCGGAAGCCUGAUGCAGCAACGCCGCGUGCGGGAUGACGGCCUUCGGGUUGUAAACCGCUUUCGCCUGUGACGAAGCGUGAGUGACGGUAAUGGGUAAAGAAGCACCGGCUAACUACGUGCCAGCAGCCGCGGUGAUACGUAGGGUGCGAGCGUUGUCCGGAUUUAUUGGGCGUAAAGGGCUCGUAGGUGGUUGAUCGCGUCGGAAGUGUAAUCUUGGGGCUUAACCCUGAGCGUGCUUUCGAUACGGGUUGACUUGAGGAAGGUAGGGGAGAAUGGAAUUCCUGGUGGAGCGGUGGAAUGCGCAGAUAUCAGGAGGAACACCAGUGGCGAAGGCGGUUCUCUGGGCCUUUCCUGACGCUGAGGAGCGAAAGCGUGGGGAGCGAACAGGCUUAGAUACCCUGGUAGUCCACGCUGUAAACGGUGGGUACUAGGUGUGGGGUCCAUUCCACGGGUUCCGUGCCGUAGCUAACGCUUUAAGUACCCCGCCUGGGGAGUACGGCCGCAAGGCUAAGACUCAAAGGAAUUGACGGGGCCCCGCACAAGCGGCGGAGCAUGCGGAUUAAUUCGAUGCAACGCGUAGAACCUUACCUGGGUUUGACAUGGAUCGGGAGCGCUCAGAGAUGGGUGUGCCUCUUUUGGGGUCGGUUCACAGGUGGUGCAUGGCUGUCGUCAGCUCGUGUCGUGAGAUGUUGGGUUAAGUCCCGCAACGAGCGCAACCCUUGUUCACUGUUGCCAGCACGUUAUGGUGGGGACUCAGUGGAGACCGCCGGGGUCAACUCGGAGGAAGGUGGGGAUGACGUCAAGUCAUCAUGCCCCCUAUGUCCAGGGCUUCACGCAUGCUACAAUGGCUGGUACAGAGAGUGGCGAGCCUGUGAGGGUGAGCGAAUCUCGGAAAGCCGGUCUCAGUUCGGAUUGGGGUCUGCAACUCGACCUCAUGAAGUCGGAGUCGCUAGUAAUCGCAGAUCAGCAACGCUGCGGUGAAUACGUUCCCGGGGCU
rnacentral:rRNA from 1 species